UGUUGAAUGUUUUAGGACUCAGUGGUCUUUGAGGAUGUGGCUGUGGACUUCACCCUGGAGGAGUGGGCUUUGCUGGAUUCUGCUCAGAGGAACCUGUACAGAGAUGUGAUGCUGGAGACCUUUCAGAACCUGGCCUCAGUAGAUGAUGAAACUCAAUUUAAGGCCAGUGGGUCAGUUUCUCAGCAGGAUAUUUAUGGAGAAAAAAUACCCAAGGAAUCUAAAAUAGCUGCGUUCACCAGAAAUGUUUCCUGGGCCUCUGUUUUAGGAAAAAUUUGGGACAGUCUUAGCAUUGAAGAUCAGCCCACAAAGCAGGGGAGAAAUCUCAGUAGAAAUCAUGUGUCGGAGAGAGUCUGUGAAAGUAACGAUCAAUGUGGAGAAGCCUUCAGCCAGAUUCCACAUCUUAAUCUGUACAAGAAAAUUCCAGCUGGAGUGAAACAGUGUGAAUACAACACGUACGGAAAAGUCUUCAUGCCUCACCGCACAUCCCUCAAGAGUCCCAUCACAGUUCACACUGGACACAAACUAUAUCAGUGCCAGGAAUGUGGACAGGCCUACAGUUGUCGUUCACACCUAAGAAUGCAUGUGAGAACCCACAAUGGAGAGAGACCCUAUGUGUGUAAAUUAUGUGGGAAAACCUUUCCUCGUACUUCCUCCCUCAAUCGGCACGUAAGGAUUCACACUGCUGAGAAAACCUACGAAUGUAAACAAUGUGGGAAAGCCUUCAUUGACUUCUCAAGUCUUACUAGUCAUCUCAGAAGUCACACCGGAGAGAAGCCGUAUAAGUGUAAGGAAUGUGGGAAAGCUUUCAGUUAUUCCUCAACGUUUCGAAGACACACAAUAACACAUACUGGCGAGAAGCCAUAUAAAUGUCAGGAAUGUGGGGAAGCCUUUAGUUAUUCCUCAACUUUUCGAAGACAUAUGAUUUCACACACUGGAGAGAAGCCGCAUAAAUGUAAAGAAUGUGGGGAAGCCUUCAGUUAUUCUUCGACUUUUCGAAGACACAUGAUAACACACACUGGAGAGAAACCCUACGAAUGCAAACAGUGUGGGAAAACCUUCAUUUACCUCCAGUCCUUUCGAAGACAUGAGAGGAUUCACACCGGAGAGAAACCCUACGAAUGCAAACAGUGUGGGAAAACCUUCAUUUAUCCCCAGUCCUUUCGAAGACAUGAAAGGACUCAUGGUGGAGAGAAACCCUAUGAAUGCAACCAGUGCGGGAAAGCAUUCAGUCACCCCUCAUCUUUUCGAGGACACAUGAGAGUGCACACUGGAGAGAAACCCUAUGAGUGCAAGCAAUGUGGGAAAACUUUUAAUUGGCCCAUAUCUUUACGAAAACAUAUGAGGACACACACUAGGGAGAAACCCUAUGAAUGUAAGCAGUGUGGGAAAGCCUUCAGCUUAUCCGCUUGCUUUCGAGAACAUGUGAGAAUGCACCCUGAAGACAAAUCCUAUGAAUGCAAGCUAUGUGGAAAAGCUUUCUAUUGCCACAUAUCCUUACAAAAACAUAUGAGAAGACAUACUGCAGAGAAACUCUAUGAAUGCAAGCAGUGUGGGAAAGCUUUCAGUUGGCCUGAACUUUUGCAACAACAUGUGAGAACGCACACUGUAGAGAAGCCCUAUGAAUGUAAGGAAUGUGGGAAGGUCUUCAAAUGGCCGUCAUCUUUACCAAUACAUAUGAGACUGCACACUGGAGAGAAACCUUAUCAAUGUAAGCAUUGUGGGAAAGCAUUCAAUUGUUCCUCAUCCUUAAGACGACAUGUGAGAAUACACACUACAGAAAAACAGUAUAAGUGUAAUAUGGAACAUCUUCCUACAAAUGAAUUCAUGUGCAAUGCUUCAGAAAAGUCACACCAGGAGAGAGAUCUGAUCAAAGUUGUAAAUAUGGUGUUGCCUUUAUGAGUUCCUUAUCCUGAAAGUGGACACUUAAGGAGUGUGUCUGUAGUUCAUUUGCAAGUAAACAUUUAGGUGAAAAAUAAUUCUCCA